rnacentral:rRNA from 1 species
UACGGAGGGUGCAAGCGUUAUCCGGAUUCACUGGGCUUAUAGGGUGCGUAGGCGGGUUGGUAAGUCAGUGGUGAAAUCCCCGAGCUUAACUUGGGAACUGCCAUUGAUACUAUUAAUCUUGAAUACCGUGGAGGUUAGCGGAAUAUGUCAUGUAGCGGUGAAAUGCUUAGAUAUGACAUAGAACACCAAUUGCGAAGGCAGCUGGCUACACGAAUAUUGACACUGAUGCACGAAAGCGUGGGGAUCAAACAGG